rnacentral:rRNA from 1 species
AUACGGAGGAUCCGAGCGUUAUCCGGAUUUAUUGGGUUUAAAGGGAGCGUAGGUGGACAGUUACGUCAGUUGUGAAGGUUUGCGGCUCAACCGUAAAAUUGCAGUUGAUACUGGCUGUCUUGAGUACAGUAGAGGUGGGCGGAAUUCGUGGUGUAGCGGUGAAAUGCUUAGAUAUCACGAAGAACUCCGAUUGCGAAGGCAGCUCACUGGACUGCAACUGACACUGAUGCUCGAAAGUGUGGGUAUCAAACAGGAUUAGAUACCCUGGUAGUCCACACAGUAAACGAUGAAUACUCGCUGUUUGCGAUAUACAGUAAGCGGCCAAGCGAAAGCAUUAAGUAUUCCACCUGGGGAGUACGCCGGCAACGGUGAAACUCAAAGGAAUUGACGGGG